rnacentral:rRNA from 1 species
UACGGGGGGGGCAAGCGUUGUUCGGAAUUACUGGGCGUAAAGGGCUCGUAGGCGGCCAACUAAGUCAGACGUGAAAUCCCUCGGCUUAACCGGGGAACUGCGUCUGAUACUGGAUGGCUUGAGUGUGGGAGAGGGAUGCGGAAUUCCAGGUGUAGCGGUGAAAUGCGUAGAUAUCUGGAGGAACACCGGUGGCGAAGGCGGCAUCCUGGACGGUGACUGACGCUGAGACGCGAAAGCGUGGGGAGCAAACAGG